GUAUGGUGGCCACAGCACUGGCAACAAUGAAUGCUAUGGCUCCGGUCCUCCGAAAGAUCCUUAGAAGACCCUGUGUUUUAGUGAAAAAGUACUGAUCUGCUGAAAGACUGAGGUCUUCCAUCUUGGUAAGGGUUCUGUGCUAUUAAAACUUUCUUUGCUACCGGUGUAGAUCAGGUGGUCUAAAAACACAAGUGAGAUUUGCAGUGAAAGGAAGAGGAGUUUUCUAAUAGAAAUAUUUUUUAAAUCCUAAUUUUUAUCUCUGCACUUUGGCUUGUUUGAUGGCACGCUGCUUUAAUGGGCGAUCAGUAGCAUGUAACUUAGUGGCUGGUGUUAACUUCAGCCAGUUGUGUAGAAAUCAACAAAGGAAGGUAAUGGCUGCAAACCCCUGGUAAACUUAAGCAGCUUUAUCCCCUGUGUUGUGCGUAGAGUAGAGUUCAGAGACUUCUGCUGUUAAAUUCAACUGUGCUGGAAGUGCAGUCAAGGCAGUGUCUGUGCAGUGGAUGGAGAGCUGGUGCUGGUAUCUGCAGUUGGAAAGACCCACAUCUUUCUUGAAGUGCUAAAACCUGCUAGUCCUGACAUUUCUGGCUUGCAGAAAGGUAGUUUAAGUUGUACACCCCACUGAUCUUUUGCGUUAAGAGCGAGCUGACUGGGAGUUUGGGAUUCAUUCCUUUGUGUGGAAACAAAAGCCUUGAAGUUGGAAAAGGGGGAAUGCAUGAAAUGUGUUAAAGCAAGAGAGACACGUUUUUAUUUCUAAUGACAUAGCAUUUAAAUCUGGUAUAAUGCUGAAACAAUGACAGUUACUAAAAGUAUCUUUCAAAGAUGUUUAAUGUUGUACAUACCCGAUGAUCCAAGGAAAGGUCAAGUUUAUUCGGAUACCUAAUUAGCUGCUUGAAGUGUGUGCACAGGGAGAGAGGACUUGGCUUCUACCCAGCAGUACGGGUUGAGUUUUCCCUCUUUGGGGGAAAUGAGUACAAAGUUCAGGCUCUUUCCCUUUAAGUGUGUCGUAAACUGAAACAUUAGGGUCUGAUGUUUAAGGUUAAUAAGCUUCCCUUUAGAAGUUGUGAUUUAACCCAGCAGGCAGAUAAACACCACACAGCUGUUCAUGCACUCCCUUCCCCGCAGUGGGAUAGGGGAGAGAAUUGGGGGGGGAAAAAGGGUAAAACUUGUGGGUUGAGAUAAAGACAGUUUAAUAAGACAGAAAAGGAAGGGAAAAUAAUAAUGAUAAAAGAAUAUACAAAACAAGUGAUGCACGAUGCAUUUAAUUGCUUACCACCUGCUGACAGGUGCCAAGCCAGUCCCUGAGCAGCGGGCUGCCAGUCCCUGGCCAACUCCCCCCAGUUUUAUUGUUCAGCACAUUGUAUGGUACAGAAUAUCCCUUUGGCCAGUUUGGGUCAGCUGUCCUGGCUGUGUCCCCUCCCAGCUUCUUGUGCACCCCCAGGUUCCUUGCUGGAAGAACAGCAUGAGAAGCUGAGAAGUCCUUGAGUUGGUGUAAGUACUGCUCAGCAACAACUAAAACAUCAGUGUGUUAUGAAUAUUAUUCUCAUCCUAAAUCCAAAGCACAGCACUACCAGCUACUAGGAAGAAAAUUAACUCUAUCCCAGCCAAAAUGAGGACAGAAGUAAGGUAAAUCAAGCUGUGCUGCGUAACUUUCAGUUUAGGAAUACAUUUGCUAAUUAGGCUAGCAACACAUGCCUGGUAAGUCAAGUUGCUUCUGUAUUUCUGCCGCCGCCUGAGAUAUUUUAGGCGUAGUGCUGUGAGGAGGGGAGGUGGGAAGGUGCUGCAGGAUGUGGUUUCUGAAGGCAAUGCAGAAGGUGGCGUUUAUCAGAACAGUAUUGUUUGCCUGCCUGGAGUAUGAAUGUCUGAAUUUCCUUUGUAGUUAGGAGACCCCAGGAUGCUGUUCCCCUGACCUAUUUAAAGCAUCUUGGAUGCGGCCGUCUGUGCACCUAUACCACAGCCAGGGAACAGUUAUAGCAGUGGGAUGGAAUGCCAUAGAAGUUGAAAAAGAGCUUGUGUUGUCCUGAAAUGUGGAUCCACUGUUUGGUUUGUCGUGAAGGUCUCUUGUGUUCUUGAGGUUCCUCAUUACAUUACCAAAAGAUGGCUCAUUGAGGUCGUCAACUUUUGCCCUUCCAGGAUUGUAAGGGCAGACCCUUUAGUCUGUCCUUCAGAAAGCUGAGACAGCACUUUAAGAGAUGAGUGCCACCACUCUUUCCAGUUGCAAAUCAGUCGUGAGUAUUGUAUGAGCAAGUGCACCAAUUAAGCUGUGUGUCGGCAAAAGUUUUCUCUGUAAGCAUCAGAAAAUAAUUUUUUAAUCCUGGUACCAUUAUGUUGAUGUUGCAAGGAAAUCACUACAAAUUAGGUAAAAAUAUGGAUCAAAGUGGAUGUUUAAUUUAUACAUGAUAAUUCCUCGUGAUUAAAAGUCUUAAUAGUAGAAUGAAGUUGCAUCUAAGUAAAACAGAAACUGUUUAUUGCAUCGCGGUCUCCAGAGGUUUAGAAACAGAAUUCCUUAUUGACCCAGAUGCAUCAUUUUUAUAGUCACUAGAAUAAUUCACCGAGCUACACAGCAAUGGUCAGCAAAAUAGCAGCUACAUAACCAUAAUUAUACCUGGGGGGAAAAAAACUUGAUUAACCAUAGAAAAUUGCUAAUGAUGAAGCCUGAGAUGAAUGAUGAGCUAGUGAUGGUUUCUGAGAUCUACUAUCUUGUGAAAAGAUUUUUGUUAAAAGAGUGAUGCUCUAAUUCCCUUUGCUACCCAGUUAAACCCCCAUCUGCUCCAGGAAGUCGUUCAGUCCCUUUCUGUGCUCUGAGGACAAACGGAUAAUCUGCACUGUGGAAAUGCUGGGGUCUCCAUUUUGUGCAUCUUGGUAUUCUGAGUUAAAGAAUAUGAAGAUCCCAGCAUCAAAGUUAAAUUGAGCGUAGCUUUCAGUAUGAAAGUUUCAUCUCUGUGAAGUGUAGUAAGUUGAGCAUAGCUGUGUGUGAGAUACUGAGAGUUGGGUACGGUGAUCUUACUUAAUUUGAUAUGACUGACAGCAUUUCCUUAUGAAAGUUCUUGAACCCUUUUGUGACAAAGCCUAAAGUAGUUUGUUCUGAGGUAAGUCUGAGUAGAUCUAUGUAGAGGUGAGCUUAGGUAAGAUGCUAGGCUUGUGGAAGGGUGGGAUUAGGUGCUGCCAGUUGUUGAGUGUUUAAUAAUCAAGCAGGAUUCGUAAGUGGGUGUUUUAAUAGAAAAAGAUGGGUUAAAGAAACUGCAUCUAAAAUUCCAACAGAAUGGAGAAUUGCAGCUCUUCAGUGGUGGUUGUUCUUGACCCUGUCAAACUGUUUACUGAUGGCUUGUGCAGACGCUUUCAAGUAUUGAGAAAUUCUUCCUGUUGAGAUAAACUGCACUGUGCUGCCAGUGGCUGUCAUCGUGGAGAUGCCAUGUUAGAGGGCAGCUGCGGAUUCAGGCUUGCACAAUGCCUUGCUUGUGGAGCUGUUGUUUGACUUGCUCGCUGGCCAGUUGCAUCAUUUCUAUCUCCUGGCUUUGGGGGGGGGCGGGGGGAGUUGGCUGCAGAUGAGAAUUUCAUCCGGGCUUAUUCCUCUGCCUGUUGCAAGGAGAAUAAGGAUGUGGGCCGGGGACAGCAGGCAGGUGGUGGUGCACUGAAGAGGAGGCAUGGCCGCUUCAGCGAGGCCAGCUGUUCGUGAGCCCACCCAUGCUCGGUUACUCAUCUUCUUGGUCAACUGCCUAGUGUUGUAAAGCUUGAAUUUUAAGGCUAGAUUAAAUACCACAGAUCUUGUCCAAGAAGUAAAAUGAUGAGUAAAAACUCGAUUUGGCAAUUGUUUUGCCUUGACAAUUGCAGUGGCAUUUGAAACUGAUGUGCUGUGACUGCACUAGUCAGAGUGUUUAUGCGACGUUCUGCUUUGUGUAGCAAGUCUUCUAUUGUAUGAACAGAAAUAUGAAAGCUUUAUUUUUUGAAAUGUUUUUCUGUCUGAAAACCUGUUCCUUUUCUGUUUUGACAGUGGAAAACUCUUUUCUUUAGCACUCCCGCAUAUUAUCAUAAAUAUAAAAUUGCAUAUGCAAAGACCUUUUGGGUACUUCUGGACAACUUGAGCCGAGCUUUUGGCCACCUGGGACUCUUUCUAAAUGCUUGUAAAAUCCAUUCCUGCCAGCCAGUACUUCCUGUCCUGUUCCUCCAGGGAGAGGGAGGCUUGGUGGACUUGGAAGAUUUUGCGUACAGUUCCUCUGCCAUAGACUAUCUGGUGCUUUGAGUUACCACAGCAAGUACAGCUGGAGGAGUCAUCCCAUUGCCUGCUCCAGCAUUGCCCUUAUUUGAUCCAUUUAUUUCUUCUUAGUCAUUUUAAGCUCUCAUUCUAAACAGAGUCGAAAGGUUAAACCGUAAUCUUCUCCAGCAAGAUUUUGAAAAUGCUUUCUCAUCUUAAAAUCACAGCUUUCUGUCAAUUUAGUGAACUGCUUCCAGCAGGUUUUUGCCUUGCUUCUGCUCAUGACACUUCUCCUUUUGGUUUCAACAGAUGUUUAUUUUCCUAAAACUUGAGGGUAGUUGAUAUGCUAAAAGUACCAGCAUAGAGGAUGCUACAAGGGAAAGCUUAGCAAACCAAAAAACACUUGGCAUUUGUUCCAAAUGAGGACAUAUUAGAGCUGAGCCUUUUUUGAGGUAUGUACCCUUGAGUAAUAAACUAAUCAGGUCUUUGCUGCUAGUGUCAGGCUCUAUCGUCCUUUUAGGCUGAAGUGUGCUUGUGGUGUACACAUGUCUAGACUGCAGUGUCUCUCUGCGUCGUCAUCCUCCCUGCAGUGCUCUGAGAUGGAGUUGGCACGUCAGUAAAUGUAGUUGCGUGCAGUUCCUUGGCCCCUGCCUCACAGGCAUUACGUUUGUGUUGUAAUUCUCUCUGAAAACAUUGCCUGAUCGUUCUGGGGAAAUAGGAGAUAGGAGCUAAAUUGUCAACUUAAUUUUCCUCCCUAUCCACUAGUAUAGGUCAAAGGCCUGGAAUAAAACCUGUGGGACAAAGUUCAAGCCAAGCUGUUGUUUACAUGGUCCUGUGUGCUUCUUGGGCAUGGGCUGAGACAAGGCAGUGGGUGUUAAUGACUUGGGUUUUAAAUUUCUUGUGUGUCCUGCCCCUGUAGUCCUCUACUCCUGCCUUGGUUUAGUGCGAUACUGUUGCAUGCACUUCUCCCGAGGAGGUGUGUGGCUGAAUCCAAGACUGGAGAGCUUCCCUGUGGCUCAUCUAGGAAAGCAGGCAUCCUCUUGUGAUCACAAACACAUCAUUACUGGAAGGCUUGUCACAAAGCUUGGAGGAAUUUAGGAGGAGAGUGUUGGAACACUGGUUUUGUCUGUUUUUGUUUCCUGCUCUUUCACUGUUAGGAGGAAAGCAGUAAUUAAUACAGCUGGAUGUUAAAUGCAGCAUUUUCUGUUGGCUCUGACUUCUUUCUAGUAUUCAGUUUCCAGACUUAGCACCGACAGAUGGUAGCAGUCAAGUCUUUUGGUUAGUUUAGGAUCCUUCUUAGGAGGAAAAAUGUUCAAUGAUGAUCUGUGCUUAACUUAGCUCCUCUUAUCUUGAAGAUAUAACAGCCUAAUAUAGGAAUAGUUGACUUUGUUUGAAAAAGUGCUUAAUAUGCUGGUAUUGGCAAAGAAUCUGGAAUUGUGAGCUCUGGGUAGCAACUUUGUAAGCUUAUAGCCAAAGAAGAAACAGCUUGAAAGUUCAUUCACUCUCUAAGUGAUGUCCAAAAUACACAGUUUCAGAAAGUUGCUGGGAUGCAUAGUCUCAGUUCUAAGUCUGUCCUUAUUAGGAUGAUUUAAAAUGUGCAUAGUUGCUUUUUAUUCUCCCUUCUCUCCUUGCUGGAGCAAGUUUAAAGUGCAGUGUUCUCUGUAAAAACAUGCACCAUAUGACACCUUUAGUCGUGGUGUUAGGUGUGUCAGAAAAUGGUGUCUAGGAACUUGAUUUGAGAAAAAGCAGCUCUUAAAAGCUUGUGUGCUGGUUGGCCUUUCUGGGGCUUGUCUGGGUUUUUUAGCAUUGUAUCAUGAAUAAAUGCAUGAUUGACAGGAGACAGCAAGGGAUAAGCAUGACAGAGCGGGGCAGUGAUGUUUAAAUAAAGCAGUGAGUUGUUAAGGGUUAUGGCUGUUGGAGAAUCCCCGUAUGAUGAUGCUUGUGUAACAUCUUAUUCCUUCCUCUCAGAGAAAUAACUCUUGAAAGUGUUGCAGUUAAUCAAGGAAUUGGAUGCACGUGUCACUAUAAAUAUUAAGCCAGACUUCCCUUGCAUCACUUCCAUGCUUGUGCUGCAUUUGACUCACAAUUUUUUACAAUGUCU